rnacentral:lncRNA from 1 species
AACCCUCCUCUCUCUGCGAACCCUCCUCCCUGCGAAUCCUCUGCUACGAACCCUCAUCUCCCUGCGAAACUCAUAAUCCACAUGUAUCUCAUCUUCGAUGCAGCAACCCUUCUCUGUGAAUCUCAUAUCUCAUCUGCGAAACCCGUAAUCGGCCCGUAUCUCAUUAGCGAAACAAGUAACCUGCGAAACACUCAUUCUCUGUGCAACCAAGUCUGGAACACAAAUUCGCCAUUGCAUCUCAACAUCUCUGUCAUUGUAAGUGUUGCUCUGUUAAGGUUUCAUUUACAAAUUUUUAGGUUCUGUUUAAACAUUUGGUGCCUUGCUAGUUAUUGCUAGUGUUCUUGAUUUUUAGGGUUCUGUUUCAACAUUUGGAUUUUUAUUGCUAGUGUUCUUGAUUUAUAGGAUUAUGUUUCAAAUUUUUAGGGUUCUGUUUCAGUUUUGCACUGUCAUUUUAAAUUACAAAAACAUGGAUAAUUGGUAUUGGUUCAGAAGAUAAUUGGAUUGUUUUUGUUCUUGAUACUUCAAAUGGUGCCAAUUUUAUUUCCAAAAUUGGAUUGGUUUACUGCUCAAUGCUCUUGUUAGUUGGUAACUUUUUCUAUUUUGAGCAAGAUGUUGUUAACUAUAUAUAAUGAAGGCAGUUUUUUUGUGAAACAUAGAGGAAUUGUAGUACAUGACUGCAUUUGUUGCUUCAAUAUUGUUAAGUGCAUGUAAAAAAAAUUUUUUUUUUCCAUCUAAGGUUGUUAUCUUAUUGUUAUGAUAAUCAUAAAAAGAGUCUCUUUUAUUUAAAGCUUUUAAGUUUUCCAAAUCAAAACAUGAGGCAAUAAAGCUUUAAUUUUAUUCUCAUAUAUAAAAAGAUUCUCUUAUUGUUUAAAGCUUUAAUUUCAAAAUGAAAAUCAAAUUCACCCAAUGACGUAUCAAACUGUUGUUUUUUUUUUUUUUUUUGUCAAUCGAUCUGAGUCGAUUUAACUCAUUUGGUUGGUUUAUCCAAUCCAUAAACAUCCCUUAGUGGAUGUGACCAAGACCAAGGAAUUAAAUGACUUUGUUAGAGUGCAAGAUGAUGGUUUUGAAGGAAGAAGGGAGAAAUUAGAAUAUGUUGUAGCUGAAUAUCUGGGCACACACUCUUCAUGCUUUUCCUUGCUUUUGCAUGUUUCCUCUUCAUGCUUUCAUUAGCAUCAUGUUUUGAGCCAUAAAAAAUAUGUCAAUUUCUAGAUAAGUGGUUUAGUGUAUUAUUUAUCUUUUUAUGUUUUCUUAUGAGCUUAUUUUUGGUAGCAUAAUAAAUAAAACACACUUAAAUGUCACCUACAACAACCCUUAUUAGAAAAACGCUGUAAAAUGAGACACUUACAACAUCGUUUUUAUACAAAAAAAAAAAAUGUUUUCUAUCUACGACAACACUUUUUUAUUUAAAAAAAAUGCCGUUAAAUAUCACCUAUGACAGCAUAUUUUAUUUUAUUUUUUUAAAAGCGUCGUUGUAUUUUUAACAAUUUUAUAUACUAUAGCGUUUAAAAACACUGGUAAAUGCAUAAAAAAAUGUUAUUAAAGCCUAUUUUUGGUGUAGUGGAAGUAGAAUAGUAAGUAGGAUGAAAGAGAGAGGAUGCAAUAGUACUUUUAGAUGUGUCAGGUGAAAUUUUUUUUGAGGUGACAAAAUUUUUAUAAAAUAGUACAAUAUUUUGAAAAUGAGGUUGUUGUAUAAAUAAUAAGAGAUUAAAUCAUUAUACUAACUUUUUAUUUAUAAUUAAUUAAUUUAUAAUUUUUUUUACGAAAACAUGUUAGCACACCACACCACCAAUAUUAAUUAAUAAAUAUAAAACAAAAUAAGACAUCAUUAAUUUUAAUUGUAAAAAUAGAAAUAUGGUUGAACAAUAUAUAUUGUUUUUAUAUGAAUAUAUGAAUUUAUGAUUUUUUAAAUAAAUUAUAUAAUAAUUUUUUUAAAUAAACAACUGUUAGAUGUUAUUUUAGUUUUUAGGAUUUGAAUUCUAGAAUCUAGAUAAUUUUAAGACAUCCGCGCGUGAAUUUAUAGAUAUUUUUAAAUUUUUUAAUGUCCUCAAUUGGUCUAUCUUUUAGUGUUCCUUAUCUUUUACAGCUUAACAUUCAAUAAACUUUAAUGUUUUGUAUAAAUUUAUUGAUAUUUUUUAUUUAUGUUAGUAUAAAUACUUUAUUUGCUAAUGAACAUGUUUCCAUUACAAAUAACAUAUUUUAUUUAUUUAUAAUGAUAAUGAAGCAUCAUUUUAAUUCGUUUUGAUUAUAUAAAAAAUUCAUUUUUUCUUUAUUGCACUGUAACAUAUUUACUCUAUCUGCAAUCCCUUUCUUUCUUUCUAUUUUCAUCUCAAGUUUCUGGCUUCUCUCUUUCUAUUUCUAGUUUUUCUUUUCUCAAGUUUCAGACUUGAAGAAUGCAAACAAAAAUUUAUGAUAAGCAUAACCCCUUUUACUCUCAAAGACCAAUAUCAUCUCCCCUUUCUCUAAUUAAAUUUUGUGUGUGAUUCUUCCUCAACGUUGUUAGUGAUAGAAUUUUGUUGGAAUUAGGGAUGCAAUGACUCCAAUUUUUUUAUAACCUGUGGAAAAAAAAAUAUAUAAAAAGAAGCUAAAAAAAAAUACACAAUAUAUUUCAAAUCUCCUUUGUAUCAUACAUGCAACAAAAUUAGAGACAUCACAAACCAAAAACAAAAUUAACUAUAUUUGUAUUUUGCAAUAUGUUUGGAUACUUUUCUUUCAUCUAUUUAUUUUGGACCUGGUUAUUUUAGAUAUAUUUAUUUUGGAUCUAUUUAUUUUAACAAACUCGUUUUUUUUUGUCAUUUUUUUUCGUUUGGUUCUCUUUUUAGUUAUUUUGUCUUUCCUCUAUUUAUUAUGGUAUUGGUUAUUUUGGAGAUGUUCAAGUUGAUUGAGACAAAGCCACCGAACCAGAGCUCUUUUUGCGCUAAAGUUUUUUUUUCUUUCUCAUAUCUGAAAAAAAUUGGCAGAAAAAAUAAUUUAUUUAUUUUACAAGUUUUUUAGCCACAUUUUUAUCAUUUUAUAUAUAUAUAUAUAUAUAUAUAUUUUUUUUUUUGUUACAGAAAAAAAAUACAAUGAAGAGGAAUGUUUUUAAUUAAAUACUUUUUUAUUCCUUUUAUGUUUCCUUAUGCCACACUUUUAAAAAAAAAAUAACAUAUAUAUUUAAAUUCUAACCAAUAAAUAUUAAUAUUAUUAAGUUUUGAAGUUUCUUGAAAAUAAAAACAGUUGCAAACUCCUGAAUCAUUGAAAAUAAAUGUUGAACUAAACGGCCAGUUUGAUUUUCGUUUAGAUUAGUAUGAAUACACUAACUACUUGUCAAAAAUAAGAUGAUACACUGUAUAAAUUAAUGUCUCUAACACUAUGCCAAAAAUAGGAUUUUAUAGCGCGCCUUUUACGGCGCUUACUAAAUACAAGUGCUGUUGUAAAUAUAUUUUAAAAAUAACGGAGCAUAUAACAACGCUUUUUUGACAAGCGUUGUUGUAGGGUCAUAUAGCGUUUGCGCAUAAUUUUUACAAGGCUUUUACAGCGCUUUUACACAAGCGCUGUAUAAUGAAGUGCCCUCACAUAAUGUUUUACAGCGCUUUUUGGACAAGCGCUGUAAAAGACUUGCACUUUCAAAUAAUUAAAUGACCUAUUACAACGCUUUUUUUACAAGCGCUGUAAAAGACAUGCGCUUUCAAGUAAAUAAAUGACCUAUUAGAGCACUUUUGUUACAAAGUCACAUAAUUGAAGGACCUAUUUGAGCACUUAUUCUACAAAUGGGCUGUAAAAUCAUUCACUCAUUCACUUUAAAUAAAAAUCAUUUACUUUAAAUAAAUAAAAACAAAUUUAAAACAAAUUUAAAACAAAUUUACGAACCCUCAUCUCCUCUACGUACUAUGCAGCCAUCUACUACUCCUCCUUUAAAAAAAAUUGGAUACGUUGUCUCAGGUAUUUAUUAAUUUGUUGCUGUCACGAAAACUAAUAAAUUGUUACAUAAUAAAUCAUAUAAAAUCUUUUCUUUUUUGAAAUUUGUUGAUCUGUUCUGUUUUGAAAUCUUUUCUGUUGUGAAAUUGUUACAUAAUGGUUGAUGUUAUCAGUAGCUUAGUAUUUUUGUAACUGCAUUUAUAUAGGUCAUAUAAUAUGGACCGGAAAUGGAUGUCUGCCAAUCGAUUGUCAAAAGAGUAUGAAAAUGGAGUGAAGGAGUUUGUUGAGUUUGCAGUGAAGAAUGCAAAAGAUCCAAAUAGAGUUGUUUGUCCUUAUUUAAAAUGUUGUUUUGGAAAAUGCGUUAGAGAAGAUGAAUUGUAAGGACAUUUAGUAUGGAAUGGAAUUGAUCAAAGCUAUACACGUUGGAUAAGACAUGGUGAGAACAAAAAAAGGAAACAUUAAUUUUGAGAAUGGUUCGACAUAUGCUUCAACUGACUUCGAUACAGAUACAUAUGAGCCGGACCGAGUUAAGGAGAUUGAAAAAGCAGUUGAAGAAGAUCUUCAGGAUUGUCCUAAAAUGUUUGAGAGUUUGUUGAGUGAUACAGAGAAACCAUUAUAUAAUGGUUGUACUAAAUUCACAAGACUGUCGGCAAUAUUAAAGUUGUACAACUUAAAAGCGAGUAAUGGAUGGUCUGAUAAAAGCUUCACAGAAUUAUCAAAACCGAGUUGAUGAGAUUGCAAAAGCAGUUGAAGAAGAUCUUCGAGAUUGUCCUAAAAUGUUUGAAAGUUUGUUGAGUGAUGCAGAGAAAGAAUUAUAUAAUGGUUGUACUAAAUUCACAAGACUGUCAGCGAUAUUAAAGUUGUACAACUUAAAAGCGAGUAAUGGAUGGUCUGAUAAAAGCUUUACGGAAUUAUUAACACUCAUAAAAGAUAUGUUGCCAGAUGAUAAUGAACUUCCCAGUCGGACCUAUGAGGCUAAACGGAUUUUGUGUUCUAUUGGAAUGAGUUACGAAAGGAUUCAUGUGUGUCCUAACGAUUGCAUUUUAUUUCGAAACGAAUAUGAACUACUUAAGGCGUGUCCGAAAUGCAAUGUCUCUCGAUAUAAGAAGAAAGAAUCUACUCCAGCAAAAGUUGUGUGGUAUUUUCCUAUAAUACCAAGAUUUAGGCGCAUGUAUCGCAGUGAAGAAGAUUCAAAACACUUGACAUGGCAUGCAGAUGAAAGAAUUAGAGAUGGAAUGUUUCGACACCCUGCAGAUUCCCCACAAUGGGCAAAAAUUGAUCACGAGUAUCAUGAAUUCGGGAUAGAGUCAAGAAAUCUAAGACUUGCACUUUCUAUUGAUGGAAUGAAUCCACAUGGUCUUCAAAGCAUCUCACACAACACAUGGCCUGUGAUUUUGUUGAUUUAUAACCUACCUCCAUGGUUAUGUAUAAAGCGUAAGUUUAUGAUGUUGUCUUUGUUAAUUUCUGGACCCAAACAAUCGGGGAAUGAUAUCGACGUAUACUUGAUUUCUUUAAUUGAAGAUUUAAAAAUUAUGUGGGAGACAGGUGUGGAAGUUUAUGAUGGGUAUAGGAAAGAAUGUUUCAAUUUGAGGGCUAUGUUAUUCGGCACAAUUAAUGAUUUUCCUGCAUAUGGUAAUUUAUCAGGAUAUAGCAUUAAAGGCCAGUGUGCAUGUCCUAUAUGUGAAGAGAGUAUAGAUUGGAUACGGUUGAAACAUUGUAAGAAGAAUGUAUUUCUUGGGCAUCGUAGAUUUUUAUCUUAUAGUCAUCAGUAUCGUGGGUGGAGAAAUGCAUUCAAUGGAAAAUCAGAGGAAGGUAAAGCUCCUUUAGCACCGACAGGAUAUAAAAUACUUGAAAAAGUACAAGGUUUGACCAAUAAAUUUGGCAAACCUUUUGUGGGAGAGCUGGUCAAAAUUGGGUGGAAGAAAAAGUCAAUUUUCUUUGAAUUGCCAUAUUGGAAGUCAUUGUAUAUAAGACAUUUCCUCGAUGUGAUGCAUAUUGAAAAAAAUGUAUUUGAUAGUGUUAUUGGUACGUUACUCAAUGUUCCAGGAAAGUCUAAAGAUGGCAUCAACGCAAGAUUGGACUUGGUCGAUAUGGGAAUAAGAAAUGAACUGGCUCCAGUAAAGAAAGGAAAUCGCACAUAUCUACCUCCAGCCGCUCAUACUCUAUCUAGAAAGGAAAAAAUUGUUUUAUGUAAAUUUCUACACGAAGUUAAAGUUCCAGAAGGAUACUCUUCGAACAUUAAAAAUUUGGUUUGUAUGAAAGACCUCAAGUUAAAAGGUUUGAAGAGCCAUGAUUGUCUUAUUCUAAUGGAGCAUUUGCUACCAAUAGGUAUACGUUCCAUUUUACCUGAAAAAGUUCGACGAGCCUUAACUAGAUUACGUUUCUUCUUCAGGGAAAUUUGUAGUAAAGUGAUCGAUCCUCAGAAAUUACUGACAUUGCAGAUGGAAAUUGUUGUUACUUUGUGUGAGCUUGAAAUGUAUUUCCCACCCUCGCUUUUUGAUAUAAUGGUUCACCUUACUGUUCAUCUGGCUAAGGAGAUACAACUUUGUAGGCCAACUUAUAUGAGAUGGAUGUAUCCGAUGGAACGAUAUAUGAAAAUAUUAAAAGGGUACGUAAAAAGUAGAAGUCGACCAGAAGGUUGUAUUGCUGAACGGUACAUUGUUGAAGAAGUUGCUGAAUUUUGUACUGAAUAUCUGUCCAAUGUUGAAUCCAUAGGGCUUCCCAUGUCUCGUCAUUCUAGAAGAAUAUCAGGAGAAAGGACAAUUGGAAGGAGAAUAAUGACUAUAUCAAGGACAGAAUGUGAGGAGGCACAAUUGUAUGUUCUACACAAUGAUGAUGAGGUUCAACCGUAUGUUACAAUACACAUGGAUCAGUUAUCUAGUUUGAACAUGAAUAGGAAUCAAAAUUGGAUAACUCGAUAGCACAAUCGAAGUUUUAUAACAUGGUUAAAUAAUCACAUAAAGUCAAAGUUUGAUAUAGACCCCAGAUCAAUUUCACAGAGGUUGAGGUAGCUAGAAAAUGGUCUGAGUUUACAUGUCUUUUCUUACACUGGUUAUGUUAUUAACGGCUACACAUUUUAUACCAAAGAACAAGAUGAUCAGACCACUAUGCAAAAUAGUGGAGUCACUCUCGUAGCUGAAGCGAUGCAUGUCUCAAGUGCAAAAGACAAAAACCCAAUAUAUGCAAAUCUAUCAUAUUUUGGGGUUAUCGAGCGCAUAUGGGAGUUAGACUACACAAUGUUUCGUGUUCCCAUAUUUGAUUGCAAGUGGGUCGAUAAUAAUAAUGGUGUUCGGAUUGAUGAGUUAGGGUUCUUGCUUGUUGAUUUUAAUAUGGUGGGAUACAAAGACAAGCCUUUUAUUUUAGCGUCGCAAGCUCAACAAGUUUUUUAUGUCACUGAUCCUGCUGAUGAUAAAUGGUCUGUUGUCCUAUCGACCAAUAAAGUAAGUGAUGAUAACAAUAAUGAUGAAGAUGUUGGUAAUGAUCUUUUAUUUGCAACAUCACAACAACCACAUGAAAUUGAUUCAACUGAUGAUGGUUUAUAUCUUAGAGAUGAUCAUGAUGAGGGAAUUUGGAUUAAUCCAUCGUUUCGUAUUGUAAAUGGACAAACAAAUGUGAAUGUCACCAGGAAAAGAAGAAGGGCAUCUUAAUGUAUAUGUUUAAUUGUUUUAUAUAAGCUAUGCAUGUAAUCUGAACUGUUGUUUAAUUGUUUUAUAUAAGCCAUGUAAUUUGAAUUGAGUUCAUGUAAUUUAUUUGUUUGAACAUGUUUAAUUGUUUUAUAUAAGCAACCAUGUAUUUGAUUUUCUGCUUAUAUUUAGCUUGAUCUUAGUGCUUUAUACUAAGUUCAUGUAAUUUAAUAUAAACUAGUAAUUUACAUGAACUGAAUUGAAUAUAAACUAGUCAUUUACAUGAAUUGAAAAAAAAAUAAUCCAAAUAUAGGUAAUUUACAUGAACUAAAAUUGAAUAUAAACUAAGGAGGUCACAAAGCUUUGUUUUAUACCAAGUUAAAAGGUCCUUUAAAAAAACAGUCAUAUAACAUAAGAAAACAAAGAGGUCUUUUACAACGCUUAUAGAAUAAGCGCUGUAAAAGAGCCAUUGAAAAAUAAAAUAAGGAGGCCUUUUAGAGCGCUUAUUUGAAAAAGCGCUGUAAAAUGUCCUUUAAAAAAACAGUCAUAUAACAUAAGAAUACAAAGAUGUCUUUUACUGCGCUUAUAGAAUAAGCGCUGUAAACGAGCCAUUGAAAAAUAAAAUAAGGAGACCUUUUAGAGUGCUUAUUUGAAAAAGCGCUGUAAAAGGCUUAGGUCUUUAAGAGCGCGUUUACAACAAGCGCUUUAAAAGGUUAGGUCUUUUAGAGCGUUUUUCCAACAAGCGUUGUCAAAGGCUUCUAAAAAAGCGCUGUAAGAGGGUUUUAUAUAUAACAGUAAACUGUUUUAGUUUCCUCUUCAUUACGUAAACUUCCCUAUCAUCUCUUCCAUUACGAACCACAUUUCCACGAUAAUCUCUCUCAUUUUUAACCUUAUUUCCAUCCACGAUCAUCUCUACCAUUACAAACCAUCUCUUUUCAUUGAAAUAUGUAACCCUCAUUACGUAUUUCUUCGAACCAUACUUCAGUUUCUCCGAACCGUAUUUCUGUGCAUUUCUCCUACGAACCCUACGUAUUUCGUCUCACUAUUCAGGUAUUGAUGUUAUUAAUUUUUUGUUAUCACUAAAAUGCAUGUUGAACUUAUACUGAUACGUACUUAGACUACUGAAUGUUGAACUUGUUGAAGUUAUACUAAACUGCAUGUUGAACUUGUUGUAG